rnacentral:lncRNA from 1 species
UCUGAAGUUCAAAUUACUGCUUGGCAGGUACUCAGGAUGAGUUGUGUGGCCACAUCAUGCUUCACAUAGAAGACAGCUAACGAGAUACAGAAAUCCCCAAAUCUGAACCAUCUCUAAUCUGGCAAAGGAUCCCCGUCCAGCUGACACUGAAUGCCUGCAGAACGUUACAAACAGCAUCUUUAAGAAAGGGUAUUUAAAUUUCCUUCUUCCUGGGUGUCAGCCUCAUCAGAAGAAAAACGAAAUUUUCUUCUUGACAUCUAGUAUCU